rnacentral:rRNA from 1 species
UACGUAGGGGGCAAGCGUUGUCCGGAAUUAUUGGGCGUAAAGAGCAUGUAGGCGGCCAGAUAAGUCCGCUGUGAAAUCUCGAGGCUCAACUUCGAGCUGUCGGUGGAAACUAUCUGGCUAGAGUCCGGAAGAGGAGAAUGGAAUUCCUGGUGUAGCGGUGAAAUGCGCAGAUAUCAGGAAGAACACCGGUGGCGAAGGCGGGUCUCUGGGCCGAUACUGACGCUGAGGAGCGAAAGCGUGGGGAGCGAACAGG